ACAUGGUCUCUGCUGACCUUUGAGCCUUCAGCGCCCAGCCGCCCUGACGUCUGGCCAGCCGCCUCACCCCACUCCUCCGAAGGGCGACCUGGGGGAGCUGGGGCUGGAGGAGAAGCUGGUCUGCUGGGCCUGACAAUGCACUUGGAAGUGGAGAAAUAAGGACAGAGCUCUGGUGUAGGGGACCCUGAUUUCAGUCUUAAGAGUCUAGGAUUCUGGAGCUCAAGUGCUCCUGUCUGCACGGAUCCAGGCCCCUCUCUCUCAGCCAUCUCGACAGCACCCAGACGGCUCAGCCCUGCUCACUGCCUGCCGCUGGCGGAGACCUUAUCUCUGCCCACCACACGCAGCUGCUGCAGCGUCCUGGGCGGACUGGAAGCCAAACCACCGGAGCGAGUCUGCAGGCCGGUCCCGCUGCCUGCUCCGGGGACAGGAGCAGGGAAGAGGGGAAGAAGUGAGGCUGCCUGCCUGCCUCGCUCCUCUGGCAGAUGCCACAGGGACCCCUCGGCCCCCCUUUCAUUCCACAGGAUGGAUGCGGCUACCUCUCCUUGCCCCAGUCUCCUCUCCCUGGGCUGUGCUGGCCCCAUUGCCAGAAAAAUUCCAGGGCAUUCCAAGGCAAUCUGCCUGGAAAACAAACCCGGUGCCGAGCCACCGCGGGAUGGGCCAGAGGAUUUUGGUUUAAUCCCAAAACUCCCAGCACGGCCCAAAUCUCAUAAAUCAGGUGGGGAUAGUUGUUGUUUCAAGCGGCCGGUCCUUUCUUGUGCUGGCCGGCUCUCCCCUGCCUGCUCCUGCAGUGGGGGAGGGACUCUGCAGUGGGGGUGGGGAGAGGCCAGCAGGGAGGGAAGAGAUGGGGUGACUUAGCACGAGCCAUCUCUCUGCCCCACUUCGUCCCUUGACCUUCAGUCUGACGAGAAUCCCGUCCUGGCCGGCCCCGGAACGGUAAUAAGCUGCUGUGUUCAGGGAGCACGUUCAAGCGUUUUCAAAGCACCUUCAUUUCCAAUAAUCCAUUUUAUCCCUCUGGCAGCCCCAGACGGGGCAUAGGUGAGAGGCCGGUCUCGGAGGCCACGGAGGCCGCUGUGUCCACGCGGGUGUGCCUCCCAGCACACUGGCUGCCGGGCCUCUGCAGGCUGCCCCGUGGGUGUGGGACCGCCCAGACCGAGAGUGUCUUCUGCUGACCCAGCGCGGAGACGCCCAGAAGCUUCCACCACUGGCCUCACAUUGAAGUGCGUGAGCACAUGGACUUCUGCUCCGAAUCUGGCCCUGCCCUUCAGCAGCUGUGGUGCCUUGGCCAAGUUAUUUAGCCUCCCUGGGCCUCAGUUUCCUUAUCAUAAAGCAGGGAGAAUACCCACCUUACAGGGCUGUUAGGAGGACUAACUGAAUCAAUAUUUAGAAAGUGCUAGAGCAGUCCCUGGCACGUAGUAAGGGCUGUGUCAGUGUUUGCUGAAAAAACUGGUCUCAGCUCUGAAACCCAGGAUCACACAGACGGCGGCCAGGCUCUCGGGUAUGGGAGCUCGCGUGGGCUCCCUGAACCUCUUCUUCUCCAAGCCCUUCAGUUACCCAGCAAAUAUUUGUUGAACACACACCAUGUGCCUGUGUGUUUGGCCUUGGGUUUGCUGUGUGGACGGAAACAAAACAGUCCC
rnacentral:lncRNA from 1 species